rnacentral:rRNA from 1 species
UACAGAGGUCCCAAGCGUUGUUCGGAUUCAUUGGGCGUAAAGGGUGCGUAGGCGGCGCGGUAAGUCGGGUGUGAAAUCUCGGAGCUUAACUCCGAAACUGCAUUCGAUACUGGCGUGCUUGAGGACUGGAGAGGAGACUGGAAUUUACGGUGUAGCAGUGAAAUGCGUAGAUAUCGUAAGGAAGACCAGUGGCGAAGGCGGGUCUCUGGACAGUUCCUGACGCUGAGGCACGAAGGCCAGGGGAGCAAACGGG